ensembl:lncRNA
ACCCGGUUGGACAUUUUUAUUGGUAAUAAAAGGAAAGUAGAGAAGUGCUUGACCCAUGAACGAGAUGGAUUUGGAAGAUGGAUUUGAAGCUAAGAAUGCCUGAUGUUCAGCACUGCUCUGUACAGAUUCUUUCCAAGGGCCUGAGAGGAACCCCACUUAUUCUGCUUUCAUUACCUUUUAACUUUUUAUUUAAAAUACUCCCCAAAACUACAUACUCACCAGGACCCACAAUACCUGAUUGUGAACCUAAAAAUGGAUUAUGGAUUCGUGAGGCUACAUGAUCUAUCAGCACACUUAUGUGGACCAAAGCUUUCUAGGGGAUUUAAGUAAGAUGUUAGAACUGUCUUCUACAUCACAAACACAGAAAGGUAUGAUAAAAUUAAAGCAUCACCAGCCUACCAGUCGGUCCACCACCACUGCCACAAGUGAGCACUUAAUGUUAGCUCACUGUCGUUCAUCACGUCAAAUCAGUAUUGUUCAUCUGAGUGCGGCAUUUGUCAUUUUGUUGGAAUUCAGUGUGCAAAUUUGUUUUGGAUUUUCAGUUGUAGAUGCACUAUAAGCUGAAGGGAUGUACGUCUACUUUUGAAUUUGUAUAUACUGACGGAACAUUACAAUAUGAAAUAAUUUCAAUAUGGUACAAGGCAAAUAUAAAAAAUGGGGCAGGGAGGGAGAAAGGAAAGAAUUAAGGAAGUUGGGAAGGAAGCAAAGGGAACUUAGUCUGGAACCCCAAAGAAAACAACUCUAUAGCCUAAGGGUUCGGAUUCCUAAAUCACAAACAUCACCUCAUGGAUUGCUUGGGUGUCACACAAUGAGACCCAGACCUGCCUUAAGUAAUGUUCUCAUUUAUUCAACAAAAUUUCUGGCCCCAUUAAGGCCCUAUGCUUAAGUCUGAUAGAUGGUUUAUUAUUUACUACAGCUACCAAGGAGGGGAGAGACGAGAAUGGAACAUUCUCCAGGUAAAAAUGCACAAAUCUAGGUAGAAAUAAUCUCACCUACAUAACGAUCACAAAUACUUGUUUACAGCCUUUUAGGCAACAUGAGAAGACUAGUAAGGUGCUCAAGAUGACACUUUCCUUUAAGAUUAAAAUAUCUGUGGGAGCUUUUGGUCCAUUAAGGCCCGAAUACGUUUCAUCCACCACGUUCCAAGUGGCAUGCUCCUGAAACUAAUUCCCUCUGCAGUUUAACUCCAGAGCUUCUCAGGGGAAACCAACUAAUUUUUAAUAUUGGAUUAAGCAAAAUACAAUUAGGAAGGCAAAUUUCUAAGAGGGAGAAAUCAUGCAGAAUAUUCCCAAGCCAAUUUGUAUGAUUUUGCAACAUUCAUUGUUUGAGUUCUCCUCUCCAUCCCUCCUUUCACAGGUAAUCAUGAAUUGCCUGUAAUUAAAAAAUCUCAGGUAACUGGCAGCAGGAACAUUCCUUGAGAAUUGUUUCCUAGGUCUCAGUAAUAAGCCUAGAUUUUUAUAUUUGCCACUAUUUUGAUGCUAGAUAUUCCUUCUCCUCUUUGUCUACUUCGAACUUGAGCAUUCUAAGGACUCUCUCCCUUUGAUCUGGAAAGGAAGAGAUACUCUGUUUUAUAUCUACAGCCACAUCUGAGUCCAACAGCUGAUUGUUGCAUCCUUGACCACAUUAUCUUUAUCCCUCCAGGAAUGGGCCUCAAAAUGAAAGAAGUUUGACUGUUAGUGAUUCGUAAGAUAUUAGAGCUCAGCAGGCCCUGAGAGCUGAGCUUGUCCAAAGACAUAUAAUAAGACUGAAAGUAUUCCUUUGUCUGCUUGGAGGGAAACCCCGAUAGGCCCUCUAGAUAUGAAUGUUUAUUUCUAAAUUUGAUUUUUUCCAAACACUUGUUGAAAGAGAUUCAACAAGACCUUACACUAACGGCUACAUUGUCCAAGGAAAUAUCCUUCCAUCUAUAGAUUGGUAGUUGGUUUUUCAUUAGGACGAAGGUUAAUUAAAAUCUUAAAAGAUUUCCACCUAUCUCAAUAUGAGGAAAGGCACAUGAAAAGGGAAAAUUAUCUUGCACUAAAAUCUCGGGGAAUUUUACACACCACUCUUAGAAUAUGAAUUUUAUGUUUGGAUGAGAUCAUAUAAUAUACCUUCGGAUAAAUCCACAGUUUCUAUUUGGAAUCAUAGUUUGUGAUCUAUUUGGUUUAUCCAUGGUUUAAAUUCAAAGAUGCCAAAUUGAGCAUGCCUCAGGUUUGCUACACAGCAUGAGGGGAAAAAAUGACCACUAAGAGCCAUGUGGUUCCACCCUGCUAUUUUCUUUUUUUUUUCUAACAUACGUCUAUCUUGCUGACCUCUGCUCCAUACCCAUGAUCUCUUAUCUAGGCCAUGAGCAGAGGACACAUUCUCCAGGGAUCAUAAUAAAUAAAAGAAGGUAAAGGGGAUUUUUUUUAAAAAAGAGGAGUACAAAUUACAGUUCCAGGAAAACUGGAAAGCAAAAUGUAAAUGAGAGUCCCUCAUUAUUUCUUUUUAAGGAUACUGGCACACUUAAAAUGUGGAUUUAAAUGUAGGUUCAGUAUAUACACAUUUCUGUGUGUGCAUAUCGGGCCUGUGUGUGCUCCAUGCCUUUCUCCAGGAAGGCCAAAGUGCCCUCACACACCGAUUUCAGAUCACAUAGUGUCAGUGCAGCUGGGACCAGUGUGGGAGGCAGGCUACAGAAGUGACUAGAGCAGAGUUGGAAAGAAAACUAGAUUCUAAUCCAGUUCAGGCACCUAUCAGGUAGGUAAUCUUGGGCAAAAAUGUCUCUGUAUCGGCUUCUCAGGCUGCAGCUGUCAACAUCCAAUGGCACACCGGAAGUAAAGCGCCAUGCUAGGUGUAUAGCAGAUAGUCAGUAAAUGGCAGAGAGUUUGUGACCAUCACUCAAUGGAUGCCUGAGCAUGAGUGAUCAGCUGGCUUAGUGUCAUUCCAUUCCAUCUGCUGCGCAACAUCAAAUAAACGUGUGCACUGUGUAACAGGUGGCCACCAGUGGAUGCUUUAUCUGCAUGACACUGUGCAACUCUUUGCAAAGUUCUUGCCCUGGGUAGACUCUUUUCUGAGGCCUAUUUUAUCUCCCCAGCUCCCUGCCCUACUCCUACACAACACCUUGCACACACACACACACACACACACACACACACUGUUUACCAUUUAAUUGACUAGCUGUUUUAGCUUCCUGGACAGACAGCAACAGAGCUAAAAAUAGCUGGGUCCUCCCAAACCAGCAACCCUUUAAAGGAGCUAAAUUGCCCUGCUUUUAAUUCUCCACCAAAAUCUGAUCUCAGGCUUUAUAAAAGAGAAGCGCUAAGGGCCCUUCUACGAUAGAGUGUUCCGCAAUUGACAUGCUGUCCAUUGCUUGAAAGGUUUUGUACACUGGUACUUAAUCCUUGUUUCAGUUACAACCCCUGUAGGGAAAUCUGACUCCUGUACAUGAGUUCUUCAUUUAUUUCUGAGCCAAGAUAAUUCUAGGAUUACCACUUAGAAAAUUGGGAGAACAGACUUGGGCACAGUUUCCACCCAGACAGCAUUGAAAAGAGGGGCAUGUAGACUACCUUUUCGGUGACAAGGUUAGAGACAGGUAUUGUGGUUAAAUCCCAUUAGCAAGAACAUUACACUCAUUAAGUAAAUGCUAGAGUGGGAACUGAGAAGUCUUCUUCCCCCAUCCCACCCCCAGUGUCCUCUCCUUCUCCUGAUGGCAUGUCCCUUCCAUGCAGGGGACUCCUUGCCCAGGAAUGCCUGUCUGCAGUAAAUCACAGUGUACUCCCAUGCCAAGUGGCUCCAAAGCCAGAAACACACUGUAAAGAACACAUGCCAUUCUGCAAAACUCUACCAGCAUGCACCAUUCCUAAAUUGUCUCUCUCUUAUUUCUUGGGUGACCUUUAGGUUUCAGAAAGUAUUCCUUUGUGUUAAAGCAAACACAAACUGUUCUGCAAGCAUCAUUCAAGAAUUUAAAGAUUCUAUUAAUCUGAUGUCUUAAUUGUUAUUGAGAAGAGGAAACAGGAGUGUCUUUGUUUCCCGAAUGACCACAUGCUUCUCAAAAGUGGCCCACAGUGUUGGAGUUUGCAUCUCAAGUUGCAGGCAGCUCUGAGUUCAGUGGCACUUCGGUGGAACUAAUUUCCACACAGAAUGAGGGGCAGCACAAACUAAAGCUGAGCAAAUUCAAAGUGCAUCACAUGGAUCCAAAAUGAAGGCGUUGUUCUCCCAUUCUGAAAAGUAGUUUAAAAUAAGGACUAAACAACGUAUGUCUCCUCACUGAAGGAGCUAAGCGGGCUACUCACACAGACACACGCCCCACAGUGAGGAGCAUCAACCUGGACUCAAAAGAGAAAGAAACAUCCCGGCAGCCCUGAGGAAAAAACAAACAUGAAUGUAAUUUAAUGAAAGUACUCUAUGUGCCUACUAUGUGUAAGACAUUGAGGGUCCAGGCACAAAAAAAGGAAGUUUAGCUCCCAUCUCCCGACCAGGUACCUGCUGGUAGGAAUCCCAUAAAUUCCCUGAAAAGGGAAGAACAUCCAGCUUAGCUGAAAAAGACAUACAGAACCCAAAUACUGUAGCUCCAUGGGCGGGGCAGCAUUUGAAAUGUGCCUUAAAAGCCCAGUAAAAAUUCACUUUUAAAAGAUGAGUGAAGCCGGAUACACUCUAGGAGGCUGAGGCAGGACAAUCACAAUCAGGAGAUCAACCCAGGAAAAUCUGCAGUUUAGCGACACCUUGACUCAGGAAAGAAGGGAAAAGACGGGGUGUGUAGCUCAGUGCAAAGACCCCAAGUGCAAUCCCCAAUACUGCUGAAUAAACAAGAGUAAGCAUUACGGUUGAAGAAAUGAAGAUAAACUAAGCUAUGAGGCAGAGACCAAAAUGAAUAAAUAAUACAGGUGCUGCUGCAUUUCUACUGAGGCUAAAACCCAUCAUAAAUAGAAAAAAUCAAAAAUGUAUUUACUAUUCUUCACCUACUGGACAUCACAGCUGUGCCUGGCCUGCCUUCCUUACAUACAGUUAAGCAGCACCACCCAACUCAAAGCCCAUUUUAUAAUUAAGCAUUGACUAUCUCAGUUAACUUUCUGAAUGACAAUAUCCAAAACACACUGCCCGCACGGUGCCACCUACAGUUUCUGCGUUUCUCCUGCUGAAAUGACUCACUGCUGCUGUCCAGACUGGGAAGAAGCAUCACCACCUAUCACCAGCCCAGAACAGACUGAAUUCAAACUUCAGAGCCUGCUUCCCAGCCUACCCUGUGGCUUUCUUCCCAUCACAAAGUUGGUGCCUUCGGAGAAAGGAAAGAUCGUCUUCCUCCAGAUGAAACAGGUGUGUGUGUUCAGAGCAUUGGGAAUCCAGCAGAAGAGGCCUGGAAUUCUGUUCCCCUGCAGUUCUGCUGCUGCUUAACUUACCCAGGUACCGAGUCUCACCAAGUCUUACUUUUCUAAUCUGUAAAACUGAGGAUAAAAGAAUCCCCCAGCACACAGCAUCAUUAAACAUCCAUAAUUGGGAGCUCAGGUUGUGAGGAUUUUCUUUUGCA